rnacentral:rRNA from 1 species
ACGCUGGCGGCGUGCCUAAUACAUGCAAGUAGAACGCUGAAGGAGGAGCUUGCUCUUCUGGAAGAGUUGCGAACGGGUGAGUAACGCGUAGGUAACCUGCCUCUUAGCGGGGGAUAACUAUUGGAAACGAUAGCUAAUACCGCAUAAAAGUCGACAUUGCAUGAUGUUGAUUUGAAAGGUGCAAUUGCAUCACUAAGAGAUGGACCUGCGUUGUAUUAGCUAGUUGGUGAGGUAACGGCUCACCAAGGCGACGAUACAUAGCCGACCUGAGAGGGUGAUCGGCCACACUGGGACUGAGACACGGCCCAGACUCCUACGGGAGGCAGCAGUAGGGAAUCUUCGGCAAUGGGGGCAACCCUGACCGAGCAACGCCGCGUGAGUGAAGAAGGUUUUCGGAUCGUAAAGCUCUGUUGUAAGAGAAGAACGAGUGUGAGAGUGGAAAGUUCACGCUGUGACGGUAUCUUACCAGAAAGGGACGGCUAACUACGUGCCAGCAGCCGCGGUAAUACGUAGGUCCCGAGCGUUAUCCGGAUUUAUUGGGCGUAAAGCGAGCGCAGGCGGUUAGAUAAGUCUGAAGUUAAAGGCUGUGGCUUAACCAUAGUACGCUUUGGAAACUGUUUAACUUGAGUGCAGAAGGGGAGAGUGGAAUUCCAUGUGUAGCGGUGAAAUGCGUAGAUAUAUGGAGGAACACCGGUGGCGAAAGCGGCUCUCUGGUCUGUAACUGACGCUGAGGCUCGAAAGCGUGGGGAGCAAACAGGAUUAGAUACCCUGGUAGUCCACGCCGUAAACGAUGAGUGCUAGGUGUUGGGUCCUUUCCGGGACUCAGUGCCGCAGCUAACGCAUUAAGCACUCCGCCUGGGGAGUACGACCGCAAGGUUGAAACUCAAAGGAAUUGACGGGGGCCCGCA